ACAAUUGUUUCUUAUUUUCAUGAAUAAACAUAUUUUCAAGUACAUAUAAAUUUUGAAAAAUAUUUUAUUAGAAGAAUUGUGUAAAUAAAGUAUAGUUUAUUAUGCCUAAAUAGAGCAAAAUAUUUGUUAUUCAUAUUUUAAACCAUCUCAUAUCUUUUUCCGCUAUCUUCGUCUUUGAAUUGUCAGAAAUACCAAUUUUAAAUAGAAGUCUCAUUUUUUCUUCGUCUGCUCUAUCUAUAAGUAACCUAUUAAAACAUAGCAGAAGUAACACCUUAUUUCCUCGUUACCAGCAAUCACUCAUAUUUUAAUAAUUUAAUAAAUAUACAAUUGUUUCUUAUUUUCAUGAAUAAACAUAUUUUCAAGUACAUAUAAAUUUUGAAAAAUAUUUUAUUAGAAGAAUUGUGUAAAUAAAGUAUAGUUUAUUAUGCCUAAAUAGAGCAAAAUAUUUGUUAUUCAUAUUUUAAACCAUCUCAUAUCUUUUUCCGCUAUCUUCGUCUUUGAAUUGUCAGAAAUAUCAAUUUUAAAUAGAAGUCUCAUUUUUUCUUCGUCUGCUCUAUCUAUAAGUAACCUAUUAAAACAUAGCAGAAGUAACACCUUAUUUCCUCGUUACCAGCAAUCACUCAUUCCGUUACAAGUGAAGAAGCUUUCAUAUUUGAAUCACGCUAUAUUUCUGUUGGUAUUUUGUUUCUUUUUAGCUUUAGCCUAUCUCCCUGUUGAAUUUUCCUUUAAAAAGAGUCAGGAGUUAAUUGCAAGAUCAUCUAUUCAUUUCUGCCACGCCAAAUCACUAAUAAAAAAGGGAAGUCGCCAACAUAAUAGAAUAGUUAACAGGAAAUAUAUACAACAAAUUGACAUUUUAAUUAAUUCGUAUCACAAUGAUUUGUACUGCUCGAUCAAAUGAGAGGCAUGGAGUCGUGAAGUUGGGGCAACUGUACAUCCCAAACUCUGGAGAUAUGCUAUCUGCCAUUCAAGAGAAACAGCCAUAUAGCUACAAUUAAUAGGAGGGGGGAUAAGAUUUCUACCACUUUCAUUCACAAGUUCCACUUCUGAUAUUAUAUGAAUUACUUAAAUCAGUAACCAUUUAUCUUUAACAGUUAACAAAUAGAUAUCUUUUUCUUUAUUAUAUUUACUUAAAUAAAUCAAAGUUUAGAUAAUGUUCAUUUAGUGUUUUAUGCCGGCAGAAAAUGUCAAAUGCUAUGUUCGGAAGUUUGAAACCAUGACACUGAACGGAAAUGUGUUCUAACCAGCAAAAAGAUUUGUAAUUAUCAACAUUCGGAACUAAAUCUCAUAUUGACAUUAUUAGAACGUACUCUGUUCACCAAACAAAGUACAAUAUACUUGUCAAACCAGAGUUCAUGUUGUACUCUACAUUUGUAGUCUACUCUACAUUUGUCAUGUUGUAUACUGUAUAACAUAGCAAUGAAAAGUUGGUUGCAAGUGGGUGGCAAUUGAUAAUAGAUGAGCAAGAACAAAAAGAGUAACAGAAGAGGCUUUAAUUGGGGAGUGCAGUAUUUAUGCAGGUUUAGAUUUACUUCAUCCAGCAAAAUAUGCAUCUCAGAAGGGGAGCUAGGUUACUUCACAAAGAUCCUUCUAGGUUUCUACUUAAGAAGAAAUAUCAAUGAUCAACCCUUUAGAAGAAUCUUAGUACCUGUUUAGCUGUUGGUGCCGAUGAACUCAUUGAAUUCUCGAUUCUUAGUUUCUGGAAAUGCUCCUGGAAGAGAAAAACACAAUCCCAUGGUUACCAACAAUUACAAGAAUAAUAAGUUUUCACAUGCAUCCAUUUUUUACAAAGUUGAGGGUUAUUAGUGUAAUAUUUAUGCAAUUUUCAUGUAAACGAAAUUAAUUCUACAGGUGAAAUUUAACAUGAAUUUUGUGUUAAUGUAAAAAAUUAUAUGGAUAGCAAGCUUAUGGGGAAGAAGUUGCCAGCAUUAUAUGAAGACUUCGAAUGUUAUCAUGAA